GAUGAACGCUGGCGGCGUGCCUAAUACAUGCAAGUCGAGCGAACAGACGAGGAGCUUGCUCCUUUGACGUUAGCGGCGGACGGGUGAGUAACACGUAGGUAACCUACCUAUAAGACUGGGAUAACUUCGGGAAACCGGAGCUAAUACCGGAUAAUAUUUCGAACCGCAUGGUUCGAUAGUGAAAGAUGGCUUUGCUAUCACUUAUAGAUGGACCUGCGCCGUAUUAGCUAGUUGGUAAGGUAACGGCUUACCAAGGCAACGAUACGUAGCCGACCUGAGAGGUGAACCGGCCACACGGAAACUGAGACAGGGUCCAGACUCCAAGGGGAGGCAGCAGUAGGAAUCUUCCGCAAUGGGCGAAAGCCUGACGGAGCAACGCCGCGUGAGUGAUGAAGGUCUUCGGAUCGUAAAACUCUGUUAUUAGGGAAGAACAAACGUGUAAGUAACUGUGCACGUCUUGACGGUACCUAAUCAGAAAGCCACGGCUAACUACGUG
rnacentral:rRNA from 1 species